CGAUGUCGACUUAUCCUAUCCUCCGGGGGAAGAAGCUUGGAAGGGUUCGGCUGUUCGCCGAUUAAAAGGUUACAUGAGUUGGGUUUAAUACGACGUGAGUCAGUAU
rnacentral:ncRNA from 1 species